CAGAUCCAGCUCUGGUUUACUCUGCAGUGAGAACUGGAGACAUUGAAUAUGGACAGAUAAACAUCAGAGAAACUGGAAACCAGCAGAGGAGCAGAGAGAUGGAUCCGGGUCCAGUUUACUCUGCAGUGAGGACAGCAGGCAUCAGACCCAACAGAACCAGAGAACCAGAACCAGAACCAGAACCAGACGUGGUUUACUCUGCAGUCAGACCGGCUGAUGGUCCAUAACGGAUCAUCAACAUCACGUCUGUUUGCUCUGUCAAGUAUUUCUAUAAGAGAGGAAUAUUAAUGUAUUAUUAUUAUUAAAACAUAUUGUAACUUUAUAGUAAUUUCAUAAACAAACAGCUAAGAGACAAAAACAUUUAAAUUUGUUUUGACAUGUUUUAUUUUCUUAUGGUUCAUAAAUAUAAUUACUAAUAAAACUGAAAGAUUGAGUUUCUGUUUCCAUCAUCAGUGUCAUUAUUAUUGAUAUUUAUCUAUAAAAUCUGCCUCAUUAUUUGGUUUAAUCUAAAUAAAGUUGGUUCCAGUCCAUG